rnacentral:lncRNA from 1 species
UUGGUCUUUGCAGCUGGGUGGCCCGGGCUGGAGUCUGGGCCCUCACUGACUGGCUCCGAGUCUCUCAGGCUGACUGCUCCCUCUGUGCAUCAGCCGAAUCCCUGUGGCAACGGAGCUCGAGGGUAGGGAGCUGCAACAAGCCACUGCCGAGCGUCCUUACUUGGCACAGAGACUGUGUCACCAGCAGCACUGCCAGGCUCACGUCACCGUGGAGUGGUCAUGACACAGGAGGAGUUGCCCACCAGGAGCUGCUGUUCCAACUGUCCCCAGAGCAUUGCUGGGGCCCCGCAGAUGGCUUCCCUGGAGCAGGCAGACCCUCCGGAACUCAUUCCUAUGGCCACACCCCAACUAGGACUUACAGCAUCGGCAGGGGCUUUUGCUUCUAAAAAUGCCAUCUGCAAUGGAGGGGUCCCACCGCAGGGACAUCUGGAGAGCUUCGUCACAGCUGGCCCUCCGCCCCCAGGGGUCGGACGCCUGUCAGCGUUCCUUCUCCUUUUGUUAUAUCUUCAUGGCUGUUCAGUAAAAUGUUUUAAACCCACAAAAGUAAAAAGUAUCAUCCUACUUGAAUUUUCCCACGUCCAAUGCAAAACACCUUUUUAGGGAGC